GAAAUCCUUAAAAUCCUUAAAAUAAUGGUUAUUUUGUGUGGUCCUUGUCUGCUUCAGUAAGAAACUUGCUUCCAUAGUAAUUCAAAUAACUGUAAAUAUGCACAUCCCUCACAGCAUUGACAGGGAAAAUUUCAGUUGAUUUUCUGCCUUGAAAUUAACCUUUUACUAUCGCAUGCGUAUGUUUGUCAUUUAUCCCCUUUUUCUCAGGUGCAAAGAGGGCUACCAAGGAGUCCGCUGUGACCAAUUUUUGCCGAAAACCGACUCAAUCUUGUCAGAUCCAAGAGAAGAGGCUCCAAAUGCCAGAGCUGCGCCAUGUUUAUGCAGCCGCAGUGAAUCACCGUUACUUAUCCUUUGCUGCUUUGAGGUGUCACGUAUGUGUCAAGUCUCAUCCAGAAAAAGAUGCAAGGAUUCGGAAAGCAUAAGAAUGAGCAGAGACAGCAUCCUGCCAGUAAUUGGUGGAAGAAGAGGAGAAGGGAGCUGUACGAUAUUGACAUGUGAAGAUGUGCAAAGCCAUUAUUCCUGCUCUGGUUGAUUAUUUUAAUAAAGUUACUUUCUUAAUAACUG
rnacentral:lncRNA from 1 species